GUGAGCUCUAAAAGAGGCACUGUCCUGGCCUUGGGUUUGCAUGCUUUUAGGCAAAGGCACUUCAAGAAGAUACCCAGGAACUCUUUGUGGAAGGAGAAAUGGGACGGAGCUUUUUCGCAAUUGGUUUCAGCCCUACCCAUUAUUUCCAUCCUUCUUGUAUCAUCCCAACACCAUCACAACCCAGUGCCUGUGCAUUUCCUAGCCACUAGUUCAUCUUGAAUGCACCCAGGACCACAGUUCUGCACUAGGAAAAGCAGCUCCCCAGGUGCUGAGGAGAGACUUAAUGAAGAGCUGUGAAGAGGGGAUCAAGAUAGCAACCCAUAACGAGCCUCAUUUCCGAAACGAAGGAACUCGAGUCUGAAGAGAUUCAGUAAAAACAAAAAUAAAACUCGAUGGCACAGGAAGAAAGCAUCCAAUCCUUCCCUCCCCAGGCUGCCAGCACAGAGCAGGAAUAGGAAACGGGAGCAUUCAGGGCUCGGCUGCAGUGACUCAACCUUCAUCCUGAUGGGAACGCGACAAAGCCGAAACUCUGCUGACUCAGGUGUGAUGAGGAGCUGCUGCCCCUGCCGGCCUCACCGCCCUCAUUCCCUCUGUCCUGACUCAAUUCAAGGCCCUUCUACCAUUGGGCUCCCAGGGAAUUA